CUUUUACCCAGUUCUGUUCAGAAUAGUGAACGUGGCAAAAAAAUUGGAAACGUCAUGGUCACAACUAGCCGGAAUGUCGUACAAACAGGAAAAGCUGUUGGCCAGUCAGUUGGAGGAGCUUUUUCCAGUGCAAAGACAGCUAUGUCUUCAUGGCUUUCCACUUUCACCACUUCCACCUCCCAAAGUCUCACUGAGCCACCGGAUGGGAAGCCUUGAGCAUGGCGUCAGAGGCUGCUAUUGCUUUCUGAGGUUUAAGUGUCCCCUGUCUGUCUGCUGCUCCCAGGCUGUUAUCAGCCACAGAUCCACAGCAGGGGACCAUAUGUCGAACUGUUUACAUGGAUGUUGCUCUAAGUGAAUGUUUCGGGAUGCCGAAAUGAUGAAAUCACAGCCAUAGCAGGGAUGGCUUUCCAGGAGACCUGGGAUGGUGUUCUCAGAGAGUACUUACGGGGAACAGACUGCCUUUUAGUAACAAAGGAUACUUGGGAAAUACAUUGGCCACAUCAUUCGUUGGAGCAUGAUAGUGUGAUUUGUGUACAAUUGUUACCUCUCAGCUGCUGAAGUUCACACUUCAAGGAUCUAGGAGCCCUGUGAGGGGUUGUCCAGCAAGAUGCUGAUUUGUCUUUCAGUUGGUAUGGUUUCUGUGAUCGGAGUAAAUUCCCGUCUCCCACUAUUCAAA
rnacentral:sRNA from 1 species